rnacentral:rRNA from 1 species
GCGGAACACGAGGAAUUCCGUCGGAAUCCGGGAGGACCAUCUCCCAAGGCUAAAUACUCCCUAGUGACCGAUAGUGAACCAGUACCGUGAGGGAAAGGUGAAAAGCACCCCGGAAGGGGAGUGAAAUAGAACCUGAAACCGUGUGCCUACAACAAGUCAAAGCCCGUUAAUGGGUGAUGGCGUGCCUUUUGUAGAAUGAACCGGCGAGUUACGAUUGCAUGCGAGGUUAAGUUGAAGAGACGGAGCCGCAGCGAAAGCGAGUCUGAAUAGGGCGUUUGAGUAUGUAGUCGUAGACCCGAAACCAUGUGAUCUACCCAUGUCCAGGUUGAAGGUGCGGUAAAACGCACUGGAGGACCGAACCCACGUACGUUGAAAAGUGCGGGGAUGAGGUGUGGGUAGCGGAGAAAUUCCAAACGAACUUGGAGAUAGCUGGUUCUCUCCGAAAUAGCUUUAGGGCUAGCCUCGGAAUUGAGAAUGAUGGAGGUAGAGCACUGUUUGGACUAGGGGCCCAUCUCGGGUUACCGAAUUCAGAUAAACUCCGAAUGCCAUUCAUUCAUAUCCGGGAGUCAGACUGUGAGUGAUAAGAUCCAUAGUCGAAAGGGAAACAGCCCAGACCACCAGCUAAGGUCCCAAAAUAUAUGUUAAGUGGAAAAGGAUGUGGGGUUGCACAGACAACUAGGAUGUUGGCUUAGAAGCAGCCACCAUUUAAAGAGUGCGUAAUAGCUCACUAGUCGAGUGACCCUGCGCCGAAAAUGUACCGGGGCUAAACAUAUUACCGAAGCUGUGGAGUACACCUUUAGGUGUAUUGGUAGGAGAGCGUUCUAAGGGCGUUGAAGGCAGAUCGUGAGGACUGCUGGAGCGCUUAGAAGUGAGAAUGCCGGUAUGAGUAGCGAAAGACAGGUGAGAAUCCUGUCCACCGAAUGACUAAGGUUUCCUGGGGAAGGCUCGUCCGCCCAGGGUUAGUCGGGACCUAAGCCGAGGCCGACAGGCGUAGGCGAUGGACAACAGGUUGAUAUUCCUGUACUCGUUGUUUUUGUUUGAGCAAUGGAGGGACGCAGGAGGCUAAGGAAUGCAGACGAUUGGAAAUGUCUGUCUAAGCAGUAAGUCU